AUCCGGACCUUUAACUCGGGGCUGCGUAAUAACCACAGAGCGCUUGGAAGACAAACAAUGUCAUCUUCCUUCUGUCAGGAGGAUCCAAGUGAAGCUACAGGAGUUUCAUUAACGUCAAUAACUUGGACCGAACACUUUGUUUUGCUUGAUGAAGAGCAGGAAGGGCAGCCUGGAGAGAAAGAGAAGCCGGGUUGAGCCCACUACCAUCAUCCACGUACCACGAGGAAGAUGAGGGAGAGAAAUUAUCCUACCAUUAAAGAGACUGUGAAAAGAACGUUGCGAACAUCACCACUCUACAGGAAGACACAGUCCAGUAAUGGGUGUCAGAAGUUCAGUAGUGAACGACAGAAACAAACAAUCCAAAUUACCUGCAGAACGCCCUUGAUGGACGCUUCAGGAGCAUUGUCAGACUGGCCAGACAGCAAGAUGCCAACUUUAAUGCCAAUUUAUUUGUGUAACAUUCUGUGACCAAAUGUAUAGAUAACUUUUUGUAGAUUGUAAAAAAAGAUAACGCAUUUAUUAAAAAAAAACUACACUAGAAUUACCGCACUGCGUUGUAUGACUCCGCUAACCAGUGCAGUGUCCGUCUACAUAUUUCUACAUAUUUUCUCUGGUAUAAAUGACACUGUGUCUCUUGACAACUGAAACCAUAAGAUGAGGUCAGUGUGGCCUUGACCUUUUGACUUUAACACAAAUACACAGUUAGACAAUCCAAAAACAUGCAGUUAUUAGUGUAGUAGAUUGGACCGAUACAUCAUCGCUCUUUUCUGAAACUAAUGAAGGCAAAUUCACACAUAUAGACAGAAAUAAUCAGUAUAAAUUAAAAGGUGUAAAGAUUGCUUACAUUAUGUUUGAUGGGGGUCAUCAUUAUACAUAACAGAGGAAAACUUUGCAAAUGUAUUCCUUAAAUUGACUUGCCUUCCUGUGGAAAAAGUUGUUUUCCCAGUUAAACAAUCACAGCAGGGAAGCAUGAUUGAUCAAAAUUCUUUCAGUGUGAUAUUAACUUGUAUGUCAGCAAGCGUACUUUGGGGAUUUAAUAAAAAUGUAUAG